ACUUCCGGUUUACAAAAAGGGCAGACAAAGUUUCUCAAGAGGAUUCCAUUCUAUAGUAGGGCAUUUAGCCCAGACAAAGCUGUCACACUCCUAUGCUGCUCUCCAAUUAUCAAUGGCCAUCGGAACCUACAGAAAAAAAAAAAUUUAAAACAGUGUCAUAGGGAAAGCUGCUGGAGACCUGCAUUUACACGCAUUACCGGACCAUAAAAAGCGGGCCGGAAAUGUAUGGGCCGGAAAGACGUGGGCCGGAACAUCAUGCAAUCGGGCACGAGUUCUAUUGUCGGGUGGCUAAAAUAGGUGUCCGUCCGGAGUGUCAUCAGGGACCAAAUUCGGCCAUUAUGUUACUUGACGCAGCCGAAAUGGGAUGCCGGUCGUGACAUUUCCCAAAAUGAAAAGGUGAUUGCUCAUACCACUUUGCCAUCGGAAUUGAAAAUGCCUGUACAUUUGCCGAAAUGUCGUGCCUCGUGUGUCUCGCUGCCUGUACCCAGUCGCACGUCUCGUCCCAUGCAACAGCAAAAGUCUUACAACCACGCUUCAUGUUGCAGCCAGAUGGUGAAAAGUGUGAUGAAGACAACUUCAACCGUUGUUUGCAGGAUGUGGUGCCAGUGUUAUCCAGAAGUAGCUGUGCUGGAGUUAUCCUGAAGUAGCUGUGCCAGAAUUUUUCGAAAUUGCUGACUUGAAAAUUUUAACUGUUUUUUGCUUUGCAAGUGGUAUCUUGUGUUGCUGACUUUAAAAAUUUUUAUCCGUUUUUAUUUGUGGUUUUGCUCUGCCAGUGAGUUGCUUACUUGAAUUGGUUUCGUCUGUCGUCUUUUGCGUUUUUACUUGUGCAGUAUGAUUGUGGCAAUCUGACCCAAUGUCAGAUUUGACAUAGUCGACAACUGCUAGAUUAAAUUCCGGCUUUCUGCACCAACAAAAUAAUAACGGCACAUGUUAUUAUCG